GCGAGACGGGUAGCCGGCCUGAGAGGGCGACCGGCCACACUGGGACUGAGACACGGCCCAGACUCCUACGGGAGGCAGCAGUGGGGAAUAUUGCACAAUGGGCGAAAGCCUGAUGCAGCGACGCCGCGUGAGGGAUGACGGCCUUCGGGUUGUAAACCUCUUUCAGCAGGGAAGAAGCGCAAGUGACGGUACCUGCAGAAGAAGCGCCGGCUAACUACGUGCCAGCAGCCGCGGUAAUACGUAGGGCGCAAGCGUUGUCCGGAAUUAUUGGGCGUAAAGAGCUCGUAGGCGGCUUGUCACGUCGGAUGUGAAAGCCCGGGGCUUAACCCCGGGUCUGCAUUCGAUACGGGCUAGCUAGAGUGUGGUAGGGGAGAUCGGAAUUCCUGGUGUAGCGGUGAAAUGCGCAGAUAUCAGGAGGAACACCGGUGGCGAAGGCGGAUCUCUGGGCCAUUACUGACGCUGAGGAGCGAAAGCGUGGGGAGCGAACAGGAUUAGAUACCCUGGUAGUCCACGCCGUAAACGUUGGGAACUAGGUGUUGGCGACAUUCCACGUCGUCGGUGCCGCAGCUAACGCAUUAAGUUCCCCGCCGG
rnacentral:rRNA from 1 species